rnacentral:rRNA from 1 species
GAGGUAGUGACAAGAAAUAACAAUACAGGGCUUAAGUCUUGUAAUUGGAAUGAUGGUGCCUUAAACCCUCACCAGAGUACCAAUUGGAGGGCAAGUCUGGUGCCAGCAGCCGCGGUAAUUCCAGCUCCAAUAGCGUAUAUUAAACUUGUUGCAGUUAAAAAGCUCGUAGUUGAAUUUCAGCGUUUCCUUUUCUUUGCUUUGUCGCUUUGAUUUGGUUUCGCUUUUGUUUUUACUUUGAGAAAAUUAGAGUGUUUCAAGCAGACUUUUGUCUUGAAUACUUCAGCAUGGAAUAAUAGAGUAGGACCGUAGUCCUAUUUUGUUGGUUUUGUGGACUACUGUAAUGGUUAAUAGGAACGGUUGGGGGCAUUCGUAUUUGACUGUCAGAGGUGAAAUUCUUAGAUUUGUCAAAGACGAACUACUGCGAAAGCAUUUGCCAAGGACGUUUUCAUUAAUCAAGAACGAAAGUUAGGGGAUCGAAGA